rnacentral:rRNA from 1 species
GACGAAGGGGGCUAGCGUUGUUCGGAAUUACUGGGCGUAAAGGGCGCGUAGGCGGUUUGUUAAGUCAGGCGUGAAAGCCCUGGGCUCAACCUGGGAGGUGCGCUUGAUACUGGCAGGCUUGAGUGCAGGAGAGGAUGGUGGAAUUCCCAGUGUAGAGGUGAAAUUCGUAGAUAUUGGGAAGAACACCGGUGGCGAAGGCGGCCAUCUGGACUGCAACUGACGCUGAGGCGCGAAAGCGUGGGGAGCAAAC